AAAAAAGCGGUACAGCAAGGACAUAUCUGAAGGUUUCAGAGAUGGCAAACAAUGAUCGGAGGAAAGAUUUCAUAAACGACAGGAGAGGACGAGUUCGUGCUCGGCCGCCACAAGCUGAAGCUCAGGCCGCCAAUUUGGGGCAGCAAGCCCCCCCGCCACGUCCCCCGCUAAUUGGACAGGCCGCCAAUUUGGGGCAGCAAUUCCACCCGCUACCUCCCCCGCAGCCGGCAGAGAGAAGAAACAAUCCCCCUCUCGCAUUAAAUCAUACAAUGAAUCAACAAAUCUCCAUCAGCAUCAACUUCAACAAUCUAUAUGUCAUCAAUCGACCACCAGUCAACCAUCAAUCAUUAAUCAUUUCCAUCAUCGUCAUCGCCGUCGUCAUCAUCUACAUCAUCUAUCAAUCAUUAUCAGUCAUAAUCAUCAAUCAUCAUUAAUCAUCAUCAUAAAUCAAUCAUAAUCAUAAUCAUCAAUCAUCAUUAAUCAUCAUCAUCAUCAUCAUAAAUCAAUCAUAAUCAUCAUCACCAUCAUCAUCAUGCACGAGGGUAUGCUGUUUUAACCUCCUGCCAGGUGUGUAUAUUUCCACAAUGUUUAUUUUUACAAUGUGUAUUUAUUAGCAAUAAAUAGGGGAAGUAUUUAUAUAAUUAUAAUAAACACGGUAUUCAUCAGCAGUAGUAACAUGUGUGGUGUGUUAGAGCAGUGGUUCUCAAAGUGUGGUCCGUGGGCAUAAGUCAGGUGGUCCGCGGCUGACAGUCGUCAUAUGUCAGCAAAGUGAUGUUUAAAGUGAUGCAUUCCUCGCAUUAACAUUUUAAGUACAAAGAACGGGAUUUGUAUUCGAUCAUGAAAACACUGGGUGAAAAGUCCAAGAUGGCGACAACAUCACCUGAUGAUAGAGCCAAAGAGCUGGAAUGUCCGGUGUGCAACAAUCACUUUAUCAUGCCCAAGAGUUUACCCUGUGGUCGUCUUGUCUGUAGACACUGCAUUAUA